UACGGAGGGUGCAAGCGUUAAUCGGAAUUACUGGGCGUAAAGGGUGCGUAGGCGGUUUAAUAAGUUAAGUGUGAAAUAUCUGGGCUUAACCUGGAGAAGUCACUUAAGACUGUUAGACUUGAGUAUGGGAGAGGGUAGUGGAAUUUCCGGUGUAGCGGUGAAAUGCGUAGAGAUCGGAAGGAACACCAGUGGCGAAGGCGGCUACCUGGCCCAAUACUGACGCUGAGGCACGAAAGCGUGGGGAGCAAACAGG
rnacentral:rRNA from 1 species